GGAGGGCUCGCAUAGUGGCCGAGUGCGGCGGUCUUGAAAACCGCUAUGGGUUCAUAGCCCAUCGUGGGUUCGAAUCCCACGCCCUCCGCAA
rnacentral:tRNA from 2 species